rnacentral:rRNA from 1 species
GACGAAGGGGGCUAGCGUUGUUCGGAAUUACUGGGCGUAAAGCGCGUGUAGGCGGUUGUUCAAGUCGGGUGUGAAAGCCUUGAGCUCAACUCAAGAAAUGCACUCGAUACUGGGCGACUAGAGUGCCGGAGAGGAUAGUGGAAUUCCCAGUGUAGUGGUGAAAUACGUAGAGAUUGGGAAGAACACCAGUGGCGAAGGCGGCUAUCUGGACGGUUACUGACGCUAAGACGCGAAAGCGUGGGGAGCAAACAGG